GCCGAAGUGGUGGAAUUGGUAGACACGCUAUCUUGAGGGGGUAGUGGCCGUAUGGCCGUGCGAGUUCAAGUCUCGCCUUCGGCACCA
rnacentral:tRNA from 1 species